UAGGGAAUCUUCCGCAAUGGGCGAAAGCUUGACGGAGCAACGCCGCGUGAGUGAUGAAGGUCUUCGGAUCGUAAAACUCUGUUAUUAGGGAAGAACAAAUGUGUAAGUAACUAUGCACGUCUUGACGGUACCUAAUCAGAAAGCCACGGCUAACUACGUGCCAGCAGCCGCGGUAAUACGUAGGUGGCAAGCGUUAUCCGGAAUUAUUGGGCGUAAAGCGCGCGUAGGCGGUUUUUUAAGUCUGAUGUGAAAGCCCACGGCUCAACCGUGGAGGGUCAUUGGAAACUGGAAAACUUUAGUGCAGAAGAGGAAAGUGGAAUUCCAUGUGUAGCGGUGAAAUGCGCAGAGAUAUGGAGGAACACCAGUGGCGAAGGCGACUUUCUGGUCUGUAACUGACGCUGAUGUGCGAAAGCGUGGGGAUCAAACAGG
rnacentral:rRNA from 1 species